UACGAACGCUGGCGGCAGGCUUAACACAUGCAAGUCGAACGGGUGUAGCAAUACAUCAGUGGCGCACGGGUGAGUAACGCGUGGGAAUAUGCCCUUUGGUACGGAACAACCUCGGGAAACUGAGGCUAAUACCGUAUAAUAUCUGCGGAUCAAAGAUUUAUCGCCAAAGGAUUAGCCCGCGUUGGAUUAGGUAGUUGGUGAGGUAACGGCUCACCAAGCCGACGAUCCAUAGCUGGUCUGAGAGGAUGAUCAGCCACACUGGGACUGAGACACGGCCCAGACUCCUACGGGAGGCAGCAGUGAGGAAUAUUGGACAAUGGAGGAAACUCUGAUCCAGCCAUGCCGCGUGAGUGACGAAGGCCUUAGGGUUGUAAAGCUCUUUUACCCGGGAUGAUAAUGACAGUACCGGGAGAAUAAGCUCCGGCUAACUCCGUGCCAGCCGCCGCCGUAA
rnacentral:rRNA from 1 species